rnacentral:rRNA from 1 species
UACGAAGGGGGCUAGCGUUGCUCGGAAUUAUUGGGCGUAAAGAGCUCGUAGGCGGUCUGUCGCGUCUGCUGUGAAAACUCGGGGCUUAACCCCGGGCCUGCAGUGGGUACGGGCAGACUAGAGUGCGGUAGGGGAGACUGGAAUUCCUGGUGUAGCGGUGAAAUGCGCAGAUAUCAGGAGGAACACCGGUGGCGAAGGCGGGUCUCUGGGCCGUAACUGACGCUGAGGAGCGAAAGCAUGGGGAGCGAACAGG